GACGUAGGUGGCGAACGUUAUCCGGAAUUAUUGGGCGUAAAGGAUGCGUAGAUGGUGUAGUAAGUUAUCGGUGGCAAAUCGAGGCUCAACCUCGUGGAAGUCGGUAAUACUGCUAUGCUAGAGGAUAGGAGAGGUUAACGGAACUCCCUGUGGAGCGGUGAAAUGCGUAGAUAUAGGGAAGAGCACCAAUCAGGCGAAGGCAGUUAACUAUUCUAUUCCUGACAUUGAGGCAUGAAAGCGUGGGGAGCAAAACGG
rnacentral:rRNA from 1 species